UCAGACGAACGCUGGCGGCGUGCUAAUACAUGCAAGUCGAGCGGACAGAAGGGAGCUUGCUCCCGGAUGUUAGCGGCGGACGGGUGAGUAACACGUGGGUAACCUGCCUGUAAGACUGGGAUAACUCCGGGAAACCGGGAGCUAAUACCGGAUAGUUCCUUGAACCGCAUGGUUCAAGGAUGAAAGACGGUUUCGGCUGUCACUUACAGAUGGACCCGCGGCGCAUUAGCUAGUUGGUGGGGUAAUGGCUCACCAAGGCGACGAUGCGUAGCCGACCUGAGAGGGUGAUCGGCCACACUGGGACUGAGACACGGCCCAGACUCCUACGGGAGGCAGCAGUAGGGAAUCUUCCGCAAUGGACGAAAGUCUGACGGAGCAACGCCGCGUGAGUGAUGAAGGUUUUCGGAUCGUAAAGCUCUGUUGUUAGGGAAGAACAAGUGCGAGAGUAACUGCUCGCACCUUGACGGUACCUAACCAGAAAGCCACGGCUAACUACGUGCCAGCAGCCGCGGUAAUACGUAGGUGGCAAGCGUUGUCCGGAAUUAUUGGGCGUAAAGGGCUCGCAGGCGGUUUCUUAAGUCUGAUGUGAAAGCCCCCGGCUCAACCGGGGAGGGUCAUUGGAAACUGGGAAACUUGAGUGCAGAAGAGGAGAGUGGAAUUCCACGUGUAGCGGUGAAAUGCGUAGAGAUGUGGAGGAACACCAGUGGCGAAGGCGACUCUCUGGUCUGUAACUGACGCUGAGGAGCGAAAGCGUGGGGAGCGAACAGGAUUAGAUACCCUGGUAGUCCACGCCGUAAACGAUGAGUGCUAAGUGUUAGGGGGUUUCCGCCCCUUAGUGCUGCAGCUAACGCAUUAAGCACUCCGCCUGGGGAGUACGGUCGCAAGACUGAAACUCAAAGGAAUUGACGGGGGCCCGCACAAGCGGUGGAGCAUGUGGUUUAAUUCGAAGCAACGCGAAGAACCUUACCAGGUCUUGACAUCCUCUGACAACCCUAGAGAUAGGGCUUUCCCUUCGGGGACAGAGUGACAGGUGGUGCAUGGUUGUCGUCAGCUCGUGUCGUGAGAUGUUGGGUUAAGUCCCGCAACGAGCGCAACCCUUGAUCUUAGUUGCCAGCAUUCAGUUGGGCACUCUAAGGUGACUGCCGGUGACAAACCGGAGGAAGGUGGGGAUGACGUCAAAUCAUCAUGCCCCUUAUGACCUGGGCUACACACGUGCUACAAUGGACAGAACAAAGGGCUGCAAGACCGCAAGGUUUAGCCAAUCCCAUAAAUCUGUUCUCAGUUCGGAUCGCAGUCUGCAACUCGACUGCGUGAAGCUGGAAUCGCUAGUAAUCGCGGAUCAGCAUGCCGCGGUGAAUACGUUCCCGGGCCUUGUACACACCGCCCGUCACACCACGAGAGUUUGCAACACCCGAAGUCGGUGAGGUAACCUUUAUGGAGCCAGCCGCCGAAAGUGGGGCAGA
rnacentral:rRNA from 1 species